AGUGUGUGUGUGUGUGUGUGUGUGUGUGUGUGUGUGUGUGGAGGGGGGAUAGUUUCCUGUUUAACCCCGGCUCCCUCGGCCAAUAAAGUGAGAUGAGCGCCGCAACCCCAGAGUCGGUCACGACUGGACCUAAUGGUCAGGGGUCUCUUUACCUUUUUUAAUUCUUUGAUCAAAAUCACACACACACACACACACACACACACACACACACA